UAGGGAAUCUUCGGCAAUGGACGAAAGUCUGACCGAGCAACGCCGCGUGAGUGAAGAAGGUUUUCGGAUCGUAAAACUCUGUUGUUAGAGAAGAACAAGGAUGAGAGUAGAAUGUUCAUCCCUUGACGGUAUCUAACCAGAAAGCCACGGCUAACUACGUGCCAGCAGCCGCGGUAAUACGUAGGUGGCAAGCGUUGUCCGGAUUUAUUGGGCGUAAAGCGAGCGCAGGCGGUUUCUUAAGUCUGAUGUGAAAGCCCCCGGCUCAACCGGGGAGGGUCAUUGGUUACUGGGAAACUUGAGUGCAGAAGAGGAGAGUGGAAUUCCAUGUGUAGCGGUGAAAUGCGUAGAUAUAUGGAGGAACACCAGUGGCGAAGGCCGCUCUCUGGUCUGUAACUGACGCUGAGGCUCGAAAGCGUGGGGAGCAAACAGG
rnacentral:rRNA from 1 species